UACGGAGGGUGCAAACGUUGCUCGGAAUUAUUGGGCGUAAAGCGUCCGCAGGUGGACAUACAAGUCUGCUGUCAAAGUGCAGAGCUUAACUCUGUAAAGGCGGUGGAAACUGUAGGUCUUGAGUAUGGUAGGGGUAGAGGGAAUUCCCGGUGUAGCGGUGAAAUGCGUAGAUAUCGGGAAGAACACCAGUGGCGAAAGCGCUCUACUGGGCCAUAACUGACACUGAGGGACGAAAGCUAGGGGAGCGAAAGGG
rnacentral:rRNA from 1 species